UGAAUACGAGAUGCUACGGCGUCGAAGCAGUCUAUGUCAUACUUCCAAGAAAAGCUUGCACUGUCAUAAACAAAUAAUGCCUGUACCAUAACCGACACAGGUGGGUAGGUAGAGUAUACUAAGGGGCGCGAGAUAACUCUCUCUAAGGAACUCGGCAAAAUGACUCCGUAACUUCGGGAGAAGGAGUGCCUUAUUUAUAAGGUUGCAAUAACAAGACCCAAGCAACUGUUUAUCAAAAACACAGGUCUCCGCUAAGUCGUAAGACGAUGUAUGGGGGCUGACGCCUGCCCAGUGCCAGAAGGUUAAAGAAGUUGGUUAGCAUUAGCGAAGCCGAUGACUGAAGCCCUGGUGAACGGCGGCCGUAACGAUAACGGUCCUAAGGUAGCGAAAUUCCUUGUCGGGUAAGUUCCGACCCGCACGAAAGGCGUAAUGAUUUGGGUACUGUCUCAGAGAGGGACUCGGUGAAAUAGACUUGUCUGUGAAGAUGCGGACUACCUGCACCUGGACAGAAAGACCCUAUGAAGCUUUACUGUAACCUGAAAUUGAAAUUGGACUUUAUUUGCGCAGUAUAGGUGGGAGGCUUUGAAGAUAUUCUUGCGGGAAUGUUGGAGCCGUCAGUGAGAUACCACUCUUGUAAUGUUAGAUUUCUAACUUUGUAUCAUUAUCUGGUCAAAGAACAGUUUCAGGCGGGCAGUUUGACUGGGGCGGUCGCCUCCUAAACGGUAACGGAGGCGCACAAAGGUUUCCUCUGAACGGGUAGAAAUCGUAUCUAGAGUGUAAAGGCAUAAGGAAGCUUGACUGUGAGACCUACAAGUCGAGCAGGGACGAAAGUCGGUCUUAGUGAUCUGACGGUGCUGAGUGGAAAGGCCGUCACUCAACGGAUAAAAGUUACUCUAGGGAUAACAGGCUGAUCUCCCCCAAGAGUUCACAUCGACGGGGAGGUUUGGCACCUCGAUGUCGGCUCAUCGCAUCCUGGGGCGGUAGUACGUCCCAAGGGUUGGGCUGUUCGCCCAUGAAAGCGGUACGCGAGCUGGGUUCAGAACGUCGUGAGACAGUUCGGUCCAUAUCCGGUGUAGGCGUUAGAAUAUUGAGAGGAGCCUUCUCUAGUACGAGAGGACCGAGAAGGACACACCUCUGGUGUACCAGUUAUCGUGCCAACGGUAAACGCUGGGUAGCUAUGUGUGGAGCGGAUAACCGCUGAAAGCAUCUAAGUGGGAAGCCCACCUCAAGAUAAGUAUUCUCACC
rnacentral:rRNA from 1 species